rnacentral:ncRNA from 1 species
UGUUAGGACCUACGAGCUAAUGUGUAAACAGUUUCUAUGAAUGUAAGCCUCCUAAAAGAUAAUGAAGGCAUGCAAAGGUUUCUUCGAGUCGAAUGGAGAUUGUCCCUUGGCUUGAUUGCAAGACCCACUGCUGAGUAGGGACAAAAGUUGGCCUUAGUGAUCCAACGAUAUCAAGUGGAAGGCCAUUGCUCAACGGAUAAAAAUUACUUUAGGCAUAACAGGCUAAUCUUCCCCAAAAGUUCAUGUCGACUGUGUGGUUGUUGAUAUCUUAUAAUUAACUCUCAACUUAUUGAUUUGAGUUUUUUUGGGCCA